AUUUCAUGGAGAGUUUGAUCCUGGCUCAGGACGAACGCUGGCGGCGUGCCUAAUACAUGCAAGUCGAGCGGAUCUUGUCCUUCGGGACAAGGUUAGCGGCGGACGGGUGAGUAACACGUGGGUAACCUGCCCAUAAGACUGGGAUAACAUUCGGAAACGAAUGCUAAUACCGGAUACGCGAAUUGGUCGCAUGGCCGAAUCGGGAAAGGCGGAGCAAUCUGCCACUUAUGGAUGGACCCGCGGCGCAUUAGCUAGUUGGUGGGGUAACGGCUCACCAAGGCGACGAUGCGUAGCCGACCUGAGAGGGUGAUCGGCCAC
rnacentral:rRNA from 1 species